rnacentral:rRNA from 2 species
CCUGCAGGAAAGGACAUCAACCGAGACUCCGCAAGUAGUGGCGAGCGAACGCGGACCAGGCCAGUGGCAAUCAAAGUUAAAGCGGAAUGAUCUGGAAAGUUUGGCCGUAGCGGGUGACAGCCCCGUACGCGUAGAUGCUUUGAUUGUCCUAGAGUAGGGCGGGACACGAGAAAUCCUGUCUGAACAUGGGGAGACCACUCUCCAAGCCUAAGUACUCGUGCAUGACCGAUAGCGAACAAGUACCGUGAGGGAAAGGUGAAAAGCACCCCGACAAGGGGAGUGAAAUAGAACCUGAAACCGGAUGCCUACAAACAGUCGGAGCCCGCAAGGGUGACGGCGUACCUUUUGUAUAAUGGGUCAACGACUUAGUGUAACAAGCAAGCUUAAGCCGGUAGGUGUAGGCGAAGCGAAAGCGAGUCUGAAUAGGGCGAUUUAGUUUGUUGCAUUAGACCCGAAACCGAGUGAUCUAGCCAUGAGCAGGUUGAAGGUUGGGUAACACCAACUGGAGGACCGAACCCGCAUCUGUUGCAAUAGAUUGGGAUGACUUGUGGCUAGGGGUGAAAGGCCAAUCAAACUCGGAAAUAGCUGGUUCUCCGCGAAAUCUAUUUAGGUAGAGCGUCGACCGAAUACCCCCGGGGGUAGAGCACUGGAUGGGCUAUGGGGACUCACCGUCUUACUGAUCCUAACCAAACUCCGAAUACCGGGGAGUACUAGUCGGCAGACACACGGCGGGUGCUAACGUCCGUCGUGAAAAGGGCAACAACCCUAACCUCCAGCUAAGGUCCCCAAGUCAUGGCUAAGUGGGAAAGGAUGUGAGGAUCCCAAAACAACCAGGAUGUUGGCUUAGAAGCAGCCAUCAUUUAAAGAAAGCGUAACAGCUCACUGGUCUAAAUAAGGGUCUUUGCGCCGAAAAUGUAACGGGGCUGAAGCCAUGCACCGAAGCUGAGGAUGUGUAGCAAUACACGUGGUAGCGGAGCGUUCCGUAAGCCUGUGAAGGGAUACCUGUGAGGGGUCCUGGAGGUAUCGGAAGUGCGAAUGUUGACAUGAGUAACGAUAAAGAGGGUGAGAGACCCUCUCGCCGAAAGACCAAGGGUUCCUGCUUAAAGUUAAUCUGAGCAGGGUUAGCCGGCCCCUAAGGCGAGGCAGAAAUGCGUAGUCGAUGGGAACCACGUUAAUAUUCGUGGGCCUGGUGGUAGUGACGGAUUGCUCAACUUGUUCAGACUUAUUGGAUUGUCUGGGCAGGGACGCGGUUCCAGGAAAUAGCUCCACCGUAUAGACCGUACCCGAAACCGACACAGGUGGUCAGGUAGAGUAUACCAAGGCGCUUGAGAGAACUAUGUUGAAGGAACUCGGCAAAUUGCACGCGUAACUUCGGAAGAAGCGUGACCCCAUGAUACGCAAGUAUGGUGGGGUGGCACAGACCAGGGGGUAGCGACUGUUUAUCAAAAACACAGGGCUCUGCGAAGUCGCAAGACGACGUAUAGGGUCUGACGCCUGCCCGGUGCUGGAAGGUUAAGAGGAGAGGUGCAAGCUUUGAAUCGAAGCCCCAGUAAACGGCGGCCGUAACUAUAACGGUCCUAAGGUAGCGAAAUUCCUUGUCGGGUAAGUUCCGACCUGCACGAAUGGCGUAACGACUUCCCCGCUGUCUCCAACAUAGACUCAGUGAAAUUGAAUUCCCCGUGAAGAUGCGGGGUUCCUGCGGUCAGACGGAAAGACCCCGUGCACCUUUACUAUAGCUUUACACUGGCAUUCGUGUCGGCAUGUGUAGGAUAGGUGGUAGGCUUUGAAGCGGGGACGCCAGUUUCCGUGGAGCCAUCCUUGAAAUACCACCCUUAUCGUCAUGGAUGUCUAACCGCGGUCCGUUAUCCGGAUCCGGGACAGUGUAU